rnacentral:rRNA from 1 species
CAGCCGCCGCGGGAAUACGUAGGGUGCGAGCGUUAAUCGGAAUUACUGGGCGUAAAGCGUGCGCGGGCGGUCAUAUAAGACAGAUGUGAAAUCCCCGGGCUCAACCUGGGACCUGCAUUUGUGACUGUAUAGCUAGAGUACGGUAGAGGGGGAUGGAAUUCCGCGUGUAGCAGUGAAAUGCGUAGAUAUGCGGAGGAACACCGAUGGCGAAGGCAAUCCCCUGGACCUGUACUGACGCUCAUGCACGAAAGCGUGGGGAGCAAACAGGAUUAGAUACCCCUGUAGUCCCUGUCUCUUAUAA